rnacentral:lncRNA from 1 species
ACGAAUACAUAAUGAGAGAAAGCAAAUAAGCACAAAUUUGGAUUAAGGAUUUCAUUUACUCCCCACGAGGAUGCGGAGUUCAACUGCUCAUGAUGUCGAUCCUACUUGCCACCGCCAACUGAUCCAUCUUCGUUGAACACUUGAGAAAGGGUGAAGAAGAAAAUUGCUCAAAACUCUUAAAUCCUCUGCGCUCCACACUCCCCAAAAAUUGUGCACUCCCUCCUCUCAGCCCUCCAAAGGAAACCAUGCGCUCUAAUCUUUGUGGGUUCCCCUCUCCUCGCGCUCACAAACCUGCGUGCCCCGAGAUCCCUAAAAACCUGUGCACUCCAAAUUCUUCUAUUUUCAGCAUCCCCAAAAGCUCCCUUUCGCAUCCAACUCCCUUUCGCGUCCAACCCCCUCUCAUGCUUUUUUUAAUCCUCUAUGCUUCCGCGUGCCAUGCACAUCUUUUGCGCAUCCACAUCGUUCAUCAAGCAUGGAGUCCCCAAGGAUUGGAUGUGCUAAGUGAC